rnacentral:lncRNA from 1 species
CUACCGUCCAGAAUUUACUCAACGCUGACCUCAAGUUCUGAGAUCUCAUCCAGGACUCAUGAGUCCUCAUGUCUCCUCAAGAACCUCUUCACUCCCCUGUUGGAGGACUUCAAGAGCCUGGAGGAGCUGGGCAGACAUUGUGGCAGAACGCCUUUCGGUGGAGACCUCUCAGAUGCCUCCCUCGUGGUUCUGCAGGACAUUCAGUGCGAUAAGGUGCGGCUUUCAUCGUGUCGAGGGCAUGUGAAAGCAACACUACUAAUUACUGUUAACUCUGACCUUGAUCACCCGGUAAAGCGUUCCUCUCUAGGGAGACUUUCUUCUUACCCUUUCCAUACUGUGUUCUUGGGGAGGAUUCACUCUGCACAACCUUCCUGAGGAAUCUGUAUGUCACACACCUUCCAGGGUUU